rnacentral:rRNA from 1 species
ACUACGGGUGGCUGCAGUGAGGAAUAUUGGUCAAUGGGCGGAAGCCUGAACCAGCCAAGUAGCGUGCAGGAUGACGGCCCUACGGGUUGUAAACUGCUUUUAUACGGGAAUAACGCGCCUUACGUGUAGGGCUUUGCAUGUACCGUAUGAAUAAGGACCGGCUAAUUCCGUGCCAGCAGCCGCGGUAAUACGGAAGGUCCGGGCGUUAUCCGGAUUUAUUGGGUUUAAAGGGAGCGUAGGCCGCAUGUCAAGCGUGCUGUGAAAUGUCCGGGCUCAACCCGGGCCUUGCAGCGCGAACUGGCGUGCUUGAGUCCGCGGAAGGCAGGCGGAAUUCGUCGUGUAGCGGUGAAAUGCUUAGAUAUGACGAAGAACCCCGAUUGCGAAGGCAGCUUGCUGCAGCGGAACUGACGCUGAUGCUCGAAAGCGCGGGUAUCGAACAGGAUUAGAUACCCCUGUAGUC